rnacentral:rRNA from 1 species
AUGGAUUAGUGGCGAACGGGUGAGGAACACGUGAAGAAUCUGCCCUUCACUCUGGGAUAACCCCGGGAAACCGGGGCUAAUACCGGAUACGACACCUGCAGGCAUCUGCGGGGGUGGAAAGUUUUUCGGUUGAAGAUGACUUCGCGGCCUAUCAGCUUGUUGGUGAGGUAAUGGCUCACCAAGGCGACGACGGGUAGCCGGCCUGAGAGGGCGACCGGCCACACUGGGACUGAGACACGGCCCAGACUCC